rnacentral:lncRNA from 1 species
UAUUUAGUUGGUGUAAAAUUCCAUCUAAUACAUGCAAAGGGUAGAAAUAUGGAUAAAAUUUUCAAGUUUGUUUAUGUUAUGAUAAUCCUUCUAUAUGUAUUUCUUGUUUCAACACAAAUUUGUAAGCCCUUUUUUUUAUCUGAUUGUCAAAUUUUCUAUUUUUUUUGUUAAGUAGUCAAGUGGCUAAAAAUUUCACCCUUUAGGUGAAAAGUGGGAUGACCGAGAUUCGAAUCCUGACCUCCUACAUAUAUAAUUCAAUGUUUUACCAACUGAAAUAAAGCAUGAAAAUUAUUAUAUUUAGUUUUUUCUGUCUUAAU